GAGGAAGGCGGGGGGCGUGCCUAAUACAUGCAAGUAGAACGCUGAAGCUUGGUGCUUGCACCGAGCGGAUGAGUUGCGAACGGGUGAGUAACGCGUAGGUAACCUGCCUCUUAGCGGGGGAUAACUAUUGGAAACGAUAGCUAAUACCGCAUAAAAGUCGACAUCGCAUGAUGUUGACUUGAAAGGUGCAAUUGCAUCACUAAGAGAUGGACCUGCGUUGUAUUAGCUAGUUGGUGAGGUAACGGCUCACCAAGGCGACGAUACAUAGCCGACCUGAGAGGGUGAUCGGCCACACUGGGACUGAGACACGGCCCAGACUCCUACGGGAGGCAGCAGUAGGGAAUCUUCGGCAAUGGGGGCAACCCUGACCGAGCAACGCCGCGUGAGUGAAGAAGGUUUUCGGAUCGUAAAGCUCUGUUGUAAGAGAAGAACGAGUGUGAGAGUGGAAAGUUCACACUGUGACGGUAACUUACCAGAAAGGGACGGCUAACUACGUG
rnacentral:rRNA from 1 species